AAUGUAGAGGCGUUGAAGUUAGCAACCGAAGUUUCAAAAGAUUUCUUGGUAGCAGAGUGUUUUGUAUUUCAUUGAAGAAAAGUUGACAAACUCUUUCGAGAAAACAAUAUCAAUUAUGUUAGCAUGAGUAACGAAAAUAACGUUAAAUUAGUUAUUACCAAAAACUCAAGAGUUUCGUUCAAAGGGUUUACCUGGACGUUAAAACGCUUUCUUAGGAAAAGAUAAAUAUCGUGUGUCCAAAGAGUCAGUUAUUAUUAUUUUGACUUUACUUUUAUUUAAAGAUCUGACGCCGUAAAAGUUAUCUUAGAUCGUAAGUAAAAUAUAACUAGAAACAAAUUAAUAAGAUAAUUAUCGUAUUUAAACUGACACUAGUGGGUGGGUUGAAUAUACUAAGGUAACGAAGUAAUAUAGUUGAAGGAACUCGGCAAAAUAACUCCGUAACUUAGGGAGAAGGAGGACUACAAUUAGUGUCUUAAAAGAGCGGGUAGCGACUGUUUACUAAAAACACAGGACUCUGCGAAAUUUAAUAAUUAUGUAUAGAGUCUGACGCCUGCCCAGUGCUGUAAGAUGAAAAACCAUAAGUGAGGCUUAUUAGUUCAAAUCCCGGUAAACGGCGGCUGUAACCCUGACGGUCCGAAGGUAGCGAAAUUCCUUGGCGGGUAAGUUCCGUCCUGCAUGAAUGGCGUAACGACUGCCCCACUGUCUCCAACUAUAUUUCGGUGAAAUUGAAUUUUAGGUGAAAAUGCCUAAAGAGAGUAGCGGGACGGAGAGACCCUAUGCACCUUUACUAGAACCUUGUAUUAGUUUAGCUUAUUA
rnacentral:ncRNA from 1 species